rnacentral:rRNA from 1 species
UCUAAACCUUUCUUGCGAUGCUAGUGAGCGUUUUCGAUGGAUACGGCUAUAAYAUCUCAAUUUGUUGUCAUCACAGAUGAAUGAGUGAUGUAAUUCAUACGAUAAUACACGGAAAUCGACGAUUUUCAAUUGUUUCUGUAUCUGUUUUUAUCCUUCUGCGCAUUUAGAAGUCAUUUCUACGUAAAUUUAGAUUAUUUGURAAUUUGUCGUCAUUCCCAUUUUAAUGUUUUAUAUAGAAUGAAAAAGAUUUUCAAACUAUAUCCGUCCCACUUUUUUUUUUUUGUUUAGUUUCUUUUUUAUUUUUUAAUUGACAAAUAGAAAAUGUUUUCGCAAAAUGAGUUAUAUACGAAUAGUGUGCAGGUG